CACGUAGGGCGCAAGCGUUGUCCGGAAUUAUUGGGCGUAAAGAGCUCGUAGGCGGUCUGUUGCGUCCGCUGUGAAAACUCGGGGCUUAACCCCGAGCCUGCAGUGGAUACGGGCAGACUAGAGGUAGGUAGGGGAGAAUGGAAUUCCCGGUGUAGCGGUGAAAUGCGCAGAUAUCAGGAGGAACACCGGUGGCGAAGGCGGGACUCUGGGCCGAUACUGACGCUGAGGAGCGAAAGCGUGGGGAGCAAACAGG
rnacentral:rRNA from 1 species